rnacentral:rRNA from 1 species
CAAUAGCGUAUAUUAAAGUUGUUGCAGUUAAAAAGCUCGUAGUUGGAUUUCUGGUUGAAGCGACCGGUCGGGCGUUGAUUCGUCUGCACUGGAGUCGGUUUUGGCCAUCCUCUAGGAAAGUGCGUCUGGUAUUAAUUUAUCGGGCGUAUGAUCCUGGUCUUUUACUGUGAAAAAAUUAGAGUGUUUAAAGCAGGCCUUCGCCUUGAAUACAUUAGCAUGGAAUAAUAAGAUAGGACUUUGGUCUAUUUUGUUGGUUUGCAGACCGAAGUAAUGAUUAAUAGGGAUAGUUGGGGGUAUUUAUAUUCCGAUGUCAGAGGUGAAAUUCUUAGAUUUUCGGAAGAUAAACUUAUGCGAAAGCAUUUACCAAGGAUGUUUUCAUUAA